GGCCAAAUCGUCUUCAGAGUCCUCCAGUGAGGAAAGUAGCAGUGAGAGCUCCUCUGAGGAAGAGGAGGAGGAAGAUGAGGACGAGGAGGAAGAAGAGAGUGAAAGCUCAGACUCAGAGGAAGAAAGGGCUCAUCGCUUAGCAGAACUACAGGAACAGCUUCGGGCAGUACAUGAACAACUGGCUGCUCUGUCCCAGGGUCCAAUAUCCAAGCCCAAGAGGAAAAGAGAG
rnacentral:misc_RNA from 1 species